rnacentral:rRNA from 1 species
GUGCAGCAGCCGCGGUAAUACCGGCAGCUCAAGUGAUGUCCCAUAUUAUUGGGCCUAAAGCGUCCGUAUCUGGCCGACCAAGUCUCCCGGGAAAUCCACCCGCCCAACGGGUGGGCGUCCGGUAGAAACUGGCCGGCUUGGAACCGGAAGGCUCAGAGAGUACGUCCGGGGUAGGAGUGAAAUCCCGUAAUCCCGGACGGACUACCGAUGGCGAAAGCACUUCGAGAAAACGGAUCCGACAGUGAGGGACGAAAGCCAGGGUCUCCAACCGGAUUAGAAACCCCUGUAGUCC